GCGCGUACUUUUAGUAGCGGGGAUUGUUCCUAAAGUUGUGUACAUGCGGUAUUAAUAUUAUGAAAUUAAACUUUUUGGCUUUUGAUUUUACGUUUUUCAUGCAAAUAAUUUUCCAUAUUAUGAGCCAUGUAGAUGUCAGUUUACCAGGACCUUCUCGUUUGAAACAAGCAAGAUCUUAGUCUUGGUCUAAGACCAUCAACAGAUAAAGAAAUUGCAGCAUAUUUAGGAAACAUUUGAGAUGAUAUGUGAGUGAAUUUAGUUCUACAAGUAAAGAAAAGUACACGUCUCCCACAGAUGAUUCUAAAUAUUCGGAUAGGGAUAUAUAUGACGAAAAUGCAAAGAAACUUACGCUAGGAAAUGUAGUUUGCGAUGACAAAUCAUCAUCUAUGUAGUUUGCAUUUAUAAAAUCUGAAUAAUUACUCCAAUCUGUUACCGGAUAUGAUCUUGUGAAUUAUUUUUUACGUGUACUGACAGAUGAUAUUCUCAAUAGAGUAAUUAUUUAGGCAAAUGCUUAUACUAGUGAAAUACUGUUUUGUCAUGCAACAUUCCAUGAUCACUGCAUGAAAAGACAUCACCAAAGAAGAAAUUGCAUUUUUUGAACUGAUUUUGCAUAUGAGAACAAUAAGAUUGAAUCGUACACAAAAUUACUGGGAAAACAAUUCAUUGUUUGGUUUAUGUAUUUUUUGCCCUAACAUGAGCAGAAAUUGCUUUUUUAUUAAUAAUGUGAGCAUUGCAGUUUCCAAAAAAGUCUAAACAAUGAUGAAGCUCCAGUUCAUCAGUUGUAUAAAAUUAGGAAUAUAAUAAAUCUGUCCAAGUAAAGAAUGUCUAAAAUGUAUUAUCCAGGAUAUGAAGUUAGCUUGAAUGAAUCUAUGAUACGAUAAGGAAUGGUGCUGAUUAUUCACAUCUUGGAGAGCAAACUCGUUGCCGACUAAUUUUUUGCCAAGCUUAUGCAUGAAAAGCAGCAACCACUUUUAAGAUAGCAGCGACUAAGAAUUCCAUACAAGAACAGUCAACCAAUAAAAUUAAAACUAAAACCUUUUUUUCAGAAAUAUUUUUUUGUGUGUUCUUCCCAUGUACAUGACGAUCUGUUUUCGCUUAGAAAAACAUCAUUGAAUUGCACAAACUUGGCAUCCGUUUAGUUCAUCAUUGCUUGCUGGCCGAAACAGAUAUGCUACACUUAUAAGUACAUUGCUACAUAAAUACUUUUUGGCGAUAUCUUUUCUGUACCUACACAUCUGCCGAAAAGUUGCAAAAAAUGAGGCAAAGCAGUAUGUCUAAAUUAAAACAACUUAUAAGCAGUCCACUAACUUACAGCAAGUGAUGUGAAUCCAAAUUAAAAAUAUUGGAUAGUGAUGUAAUUCAAUAUGUGAUUAAAUGUUUGCAUGUGUUAUGUCAUCAAAGUUAAAUCCUUUUACUUUCAAUAUAUUAGCUUAUCUUAAUUUAUGCUGUCAUUUUUAUAAAUGUGUAGAUUACAGCCCAUUGUUUAUCUGUAAAUUACAUUCAGUUAGGCAGAGAUCCAUCCUCCAUCAUAAUACUGUUAAAAUUAAAAGUUCUUCUUCAGCUGUAGGAAUGGUUAUAAAAUCUGUUACUCCAAGCACACCAUGUAACUUAGAAUGUAAAGUUGGUUUGUAAAUCUUUAAUAUCUGAGUGUCUAGUUAUGCUGUCUAAUCCAGCAGUUAAUAAGAUAUAAUUGCUAAUAUAACAAAAAGUUUAAAAGAAAUCAUUUUUAAUGAUAAAUGUGUAAAGAAUCAAGCAAUCUGAAUGAAUUUCCAGAUAAAUAUACCAUAUGCGUAUAUUGCUCAGUUUCACGGUACUUUUUUGUUGUGCAGUGUCACACAUUUUUCAGUAGUAUUGUAAUAGUAUGUGCAUACAUGUGUUUAAUUAUUAUUGCUUAGAUAUGCUCGUGGUCUACAGAUAGUGUUAUCGUUGGAUCUCGGCAUGUAUUUGUGUUCUCUAUCACAAGCAACAAAAGUGUUGUAGGUGCAUAACGAAAAAGUAUCCAAAUUAAAAAUAAUCAUGU